rnacentral:lncRNA from 1 species
AAAAGACCAAUGGAGCAUAAUUUACAAUAAACUCGUUUAUUAACAUAAAAACCUUUACUGUCCACUUACCUCGGUGAGACCUAUAAAACAACCUAUAAAAGCAAUAACAUUAUCAUCAUCUCAUCAAAAGAUAUGAACUGUAUGACAUAAUACUUACCACGCCUUUGUAUUUCAAUCAUUAAACAACACAUUUUCCUCAUUUACCAGCC